rnacentral:lncRNA from 1 species
AGUCCCUGGUCGGGGGUUUUCGAACGUGGGUGAUGAAUUCUGUGUUCUGAUCAGUUACUCAGGAGGCGCCCGAAUGUGAGGGGGUGGGAGUGUGGGAGGGGGCUGCCUCCUCUCUUCUCUUUCCCUCUGGCUGCUCUCCUCCCCUCUCCUCCCUCCUUCUCUCUCCCCCCUCCCUUCUUCCCUCCCCUCCCUUUUUCAGCAUCUCCCCUACCCUUUCUUUCUCUUCUCUCCCUCUCUCCCCUCCCUCUCUCCCCCUCCCGCUCUCUUCUCCCUCUCCCUACAAGUCUGGCACUGAAGGAGAACUGUUUUGCUUUGCUCCGGGAAGAGUGCAGACACGACGUGAAAUCCGGAGCUCUUUGCGUGGUGCAUUUAAAAUGCUUCCUUAUUUAUAUUACCCUCAUCCCCUCCCCUCUCCCACCCCCUCACCAGCCCUUCCAAAUUUCCCUAGAAAUCUGUGUAAAGCGUGGAGGGGAAAACAUUUGCAUAAAAAGUGAAGGAGCACGCCAAGGAGCACCAAAGACCAAGAGGAGACCAGAUGAGUUUUCAGAGCAGUUCUCAGACACCCAGGACGCAUGUCAUCCUUUGCCUCGUGCUUUCUGCAAUGUUGCUGCUCACCUUCAUCUUUCUAUUAACCCUCGCCAUAACAAUCCCCUCCUGACACCACCACCUCUUCUCCAUUAAUCACCCACUCAGCUCUCUCUGAGGUGUCUCUCCCAUGGGGCAUGGCUUUGUCUCUGGCAGGCUCCCCUUGAAUCAUAUCCAGAUGGCUACCAUUUACUUCCUUUUCCUCUGUCUCCUCUUCACACCAGACUCAGUUAACACUCAGUCCCUUGAUCAGGAAAACCGGAGAAAAAGUUCCCUUUUCUAAAAAGGAAGUCAGAGCGUGCUCUGCUGGAGCCACCAUGCUCAGGGAAGAGACCCAAAAUACAGCUGAGUGUGAUGUCAUUGAAACCAGAUGGAAAGACCAGAAAUCCCUUAAUCCCAGUCAGACCUAGUGAAGCUUUACUUGUGACUGUUGGGACUGAUUAAGAAUAUGGGGGCAGGGAGGAAGAGAGGGAGAAAGAUGUUCUGAAUUGGAUUGCCCUUCAAUACAGAAUGGAAUCCCCUAGUUUUUUUGUCCUCCAAUUAAAUGUGCAUUUCAUUCUACCACAUUGUGAUGGCUUCACUGUAGAUGUUUCCUCUGGAGACCCAAGGCUUUUUUUCUUCAUGGGUCACAAGACCACAAGCCACCAGAUGAUGAGUAUUUUACCUACUGGUGUUUCCCUUGGUGUUUGAAAAGGAGAGAAGAGACCCAGACAGGGUAUUUUCUGGCUUCACUGAUCCUGAAAGAGAGGAAAGUCGGUUCUUCUCAAGGGCUACCUAACAGACAGUUACUCUUGCAUGUUUUCUGAGAGGAGCAUCGGGGGAAUGGAGCCCGAGUCAUGCUGAUGAUCCCAGAGAUGGGUUGAAAAUGCAGAGCGUGGUUUUCAUCUUGGACAGGUUCCAUGUCAGUCUAUUAAUUCCCUGAGUCCUUAGUUUGACUGCUUUGAUGGGAAUUGGGCACCAGAGCCCUUAACAAGGAAUGAUGAGACAUCGGGGAAAGGCAAGGUCACCCAUCCAACUCAGGCAUGCACCAGAGAACCUGACUGAAGGAAAGAGAACAUGGAGAAGCGGGGGUUGUAGAGGGCUGACUCUCUGCAAUGGUGUGUGCUGUUGUUUCCUGCUCAGGCAAUCUAACCAGUCAGUCUUGUGACUGCAGCACGUGAUAACAAGGCAGAGAGUCACUCUCUUCUGGGAGAGAAAGCAGAGCCCCUGACCCCACCAGGUGACCCCAGUUAGGUUCUGCUUUUCUGCUGCUAUCCCCAAAGUUGUAAUGGGCCUGGCCUAAGAACAUUUCAGCCAUCCUCAACCUGGUAUUAUUCAGGAUUUCCUUAGAAAUACUGGGAAUCAUGAGUUUUCUGUGGUUUCAAAUCAAGCAUGGUAGCAUACCACCACCAAACAGAGAAUAGAGAACACAAUACUAUUCUAAAUUGUAUCUUUGCUAUAAAGUGUGUGCCAUCUAUGUAGAAACCUUA